CACAUGCCCAUCUCACUUCACAUGGUUUUGGGGAGCCCCAAAGGAAAUCAGUCUGUUGACAGGAGUAUUAGUACUGAUCACCAAAUGGCAGAUGAAGGAAGAGGCCUGGCUCUGAGGCACACAAAAGGAGGUAAGCAGGUAAGCGCAGCCCUACCUGU
rnacentral:lncRNA from 1 species